rnacentral:lncRNA from 1 species
CAAAACUGAAAAGGAACAGGGGCAGAAAAUAGCACACUCUUACUCUACGCAACUGUUGUUUUCUCAUGAUCAUCAGGAAAUUUACUGGGAUAAUUCCAAGCAUUGUAUCUAAGAGGAGCUGCUUCUGAGAUGAAGAAAACUCCCAAUGUGAAGUUCAAACAAAGAACAGAAUGAAAUACAUAUGAUACAUUAUUAUAACUGAAGAAGUGCAAGAGUUGGGAAGACACAGUCAGUUUUCCCUAUGAAAACCUACACCGUGCCAUGCCUUGCCCUAUUUUGGACUCUCACAGAAGCAAAUCCUCAGGAUUAUGCUCAACUGCUCAGAACAGGUGUUUCCUACAAGGCCACAAGGGUAUCUUCAACGAUUAUACAGAGGAAAUUUUAUUCACCUAUAAAGGCAUUUGAACUGGGCAAACAGGACGACAGCAGCAGUGAGCAUGAGAUCAUUGCAGCCCUGUAGCAAACUGGCAUCCUGCCUUUUCACCACUUUGGUUCGGGAGACAAACGUGUGCAAUCCUCAUUUCUAAAGUCAGCACAGCCUGGAAGGAUUCCUGGUCUCUCCCACCUUCUACCAUUCUGCUGCCAGUGACGGCAAGGAUUGGUGCAGUUUCUGCGCAGUGCUUUGUGCCUGGAAUACCGAGAAGGAAGAAAAAGAAGACAAGCUUUCUGGUUCUUCUCUUCUAAGAAAUAACAGGAGCCCUGAAGAAAAAAAAAUCUGAGUUUGUCUUACUACAUGCAAGAGUUCUGAAAGAGAGAGAGAAAGACGCUCCUGCUCAAAAACAAAAAAAACAAAAACAAACAAAAAUCCAAUCCAAAAAACAAACAAACAAAAAAAAGCAAACAUUGGCUUACAUAACUGCAGAGACAUCGGGCUUUCUAAAGCAGCUUUUGAAGGCAACAUAACCAAAUGAGCCUUCUUUAUUUUUACUAUUUCAAAAAAUAUGGCAUGAUUAGCAAUACAUUGCACUUGGUGAAAUCGCACCUUUCAUAUCAGGGAAAAACUUAAAAUGGAUAUGAGAAGUGAAGAAAGUGAUCAUAGGAGAAAAUCAUCUAAGGAUUCUUUGGAUCAAUAUCAUUCUGUUUAGAAGUUCUAAACACAUCAGUAUUCCAGUGAAGCUACAAAAGACUUGUAGAGGUGUCUGAGGAUUUGUGAGCAUCAAGUGAAUGUUCUAUGGAAUCAUCUUUCCUUGCCUUUGAAUUACCUUUCCCUAGGCCAUGAGUCAACAUCCAUAUUUUAUUCUUCCAAAUUGACUGUAAGCACCUAUGAGGGUAGUGCCCUCAUCUGUCUGAUUUAGUGCAAUACUCUCAGUGAGGACACAGAACUGGUGAAGAUGAGGCGCUUGAGGAUCACUGUAGAGUGAAUGAGUGAAUGAAUAAAGGACAAAUUCCUUCAAUAAAUCUCAAAAGCGUAUGAUGUGCCAGGCACUGUUACAGGGACAGGAAUAUGGUGAUGAACAAAUAUGAAGAUGCUCAAGAAAGCCCUCUUGCCCAUUUCCCAUGUGAAGUUGAAUAAGAAGAUGGCUGUCUAUGAAGAAGCAGGCUCUCUCCAGGUAGUGAAUCUACUGAAAACUUGAUUUUUGGAAUUCUCAUCCUACCAAACUCGGAGAAAUAAAUUUCUAUUUUUUUCUGUUGUCUUUAAGCCAUCUAGUCUAUGAUGUCUUGGGGAAACAGCAUGAAAAAACUAAAACUGAAGUAAACUAGAGAAAUGGAGCUUUAGAGAAGUAUACUCAUGAACAAAGCUCUGAAGCUUUAGUCAACCCAACUCUCCAUUUGCCCUCCUGAACACCAAAAAACAAGAUUCCAUCCUGUGAUUCAUGCAGCAACAGCGUUCAAGUGAUGGCAAAAAUGAAAGUCACAGACAAGUCAGUAUGCGGUACACUGGGCUGAACAUACAGAGUUUAGUGUUUCUUUGGAGGAAUUGUGACAAUAACAUUUGUUCCCUCUGCCCUCCUUCCCCUCCAUUUCCUGUAAAAUCUACCUUUUCCUACUCUCACUUGCUCUCAUACAGUUUGUGUAGAACUGGCCUAUCCCUGGCUCAAAAGCAUGACCUAUUCUGGCCAGAGAGAGUGGGUCAUACCUCCCAGCAAUCUCAGGAAGAAUGGGAAACUUGGUAAAUUAGUAAUAGUAUUUUGAACUUUGAUGCAACCAUGAAUAAAUAUUCCAACUUUUUCCUUGACUAUGAGUAUGCUUCUUGUUUUGCUUGAACUAAUUGAAAUUAAAUAUUAUUUUCAACUGGAAGAGUCCCAAUUGAUAUUUAUUCUAAUUUCCUAAAAUUCAGAUCCAGUAGGUCAGCUUAAAAAUUUCUAUGACUCACCAUUUCCUAUAAAGUCCAAAUCUUUACCUAAUUAUGAGUAACAUAUAGGUUUAACUGUAAUGCAGUUAAUAUGUUCUCUCUCACUGGUUUAUUGAUUAUAGUGUUAGCCAAGAGCGGACAAGGUAGAAUAUUUGAUCUAAUUAUCAUUCUUUUAUUAUCCUUAUCAAACAGACCUCGAGAAAGCAACAGACAUGCGCUUAGAACUUACAUGGCUUUUGGCAGAUUUUCUUUCCCCUUUCAUGCAGUUGUUACAGAGGAUUUGGCAUGUACUUUGUUUAUUAUUGUAAAAGCAUAUUAUUGACAGUGUAGAAAUUUUAGAGAAUACACCUAUUUUGUUUGUACUGAGAGAAAUUAUUGUAGAGAAGUGAAUCUUCAUGUUUUUCUUGGAUCAUUAAUGUUCACAUUAUCAGGGAAAUUGUUAGUGAUGCACAUUUUUGAACCCAACUUCAAACCAACUGAAUCAGGAAAUCUUUAGAUGGCACGCAGAAACCUGUAUUUUAACACAAUUAAAAUCAUCCCAUGAUACAUGAAAAAAUAUUUGAACCAUUAUGGGGCCUUGGGGAAACUAUGCCUCAUAUCCUUUUCUCUGACAUAAAUAAAAUGCUCAGUAAAUUUUAGAUAAUGCUAUAGCUGUUGAAGCAACAUUCUGAGAAACAUGCUUACUUGUAAUAGUCAAGCAAGGUUUAUUUUAAAUUAAGAACUUACCUCUAAAGUCACGUAAAGAUUGAAGUCAGAGAAUUGAAUGAGUGAUUAAAUUCAUACUGAAAAAUGAAAACAAUGGAUAGCUCUUAUAAAUCUUAGAGUAGUAACUUAAACCUAGUAUAACUUCAGUUGACAUAUAUAUAUAGAGAGAGAGAGAGAGAGAGAGUUUUAAGUGUAGUUUUGCAUUCACCAAAAUGCAGAAACAUGUACUAACUUUAGUUAAGAUAAUAUUUAAAUCUCUAUUAUUUUUAAACUGCUGUGUUUUCUUUUUACUGAAAGUUAUUUUUCAGUUCUAAGGGCUUAAUUCUUUUCUAGCCCCAAGGACUCAAAUGUUAACUUCAUGUUUAUAAAUAGAUGAGCCUGAGACAUCUCAUGUCUAGUAGCACGUAUUUUUGUUGGUGAAACAUUUUCUAAAAUUUGUAAGUAACUCAAAGUUUUUGCUCUUGAUGUACAGUAGCCCAAAAAAGGUACACCUUCUCUCUACUGUGGCCAUUGCCUUCUAGGAAGUUUAAAGUGUCCCAAGAGUUUUCUGGAUCUCUAUUUGCAUGCUGUUUGGAUGUAUAGGUUCAGAAUUUUGCUGGUUUUCCAUUUCAUACUCUAAUAUCAUAUAGACUGCACUUGCUCCUUUAUAGUUAUACCAUCAUAUAUCUCUAGACUUGAAAAUUCAGUUAUAUGUUGUAUGCAGGACAGUAUUUGCUUAUUAAAAAUAUUAAAUUCCAGGCACUAAUCUAGGCAUUAAGUUCAUAAUGAUUAUAUGAGUCACUGUGACCAUAAUGAUAAUAUCUAUAAACCAUAAUUUUCCUAUUAGGCAGAAACUGAACUUUAUUUUGUUUCUUUUUAUCUUCAUAGAGAUAUGGGAACAUGCAUAGGUGCACAAGAAAAACUUUUGGAUCAUUAAAGUACAUAGUAUAUUUUUGAGAGAUUUUGAGAAGCCUGAUUAGAGAAGGAAACAUGAAAAGUAUAGGCUUAGGAAGUGGAAGAUUAUUUGUGCUGCAGUGUGUUAUAAAAAGAACUUAGUAGAGGUGCUUGGUUUUUAGGUUAAAUAACAGAGAAAAUAAAUGUCACAGCAGUUACAGAUUGACUGAAAUUAUGUUUCAUACAGUGCACUCCUGCUUGACCUUGUAGAGACUUGUGGGAAGCAUCAAAAAGAGCACUGAAAUCAGGCCUGGAGAAACAUGUUUUGAAGCUUGGCUUUACCACUAUUAGCUGUUUGACUUUAGACAAAUUUAAGUUCAUGAAAUUCAUAUAAACUGGCUCCUUAGAUCUAUCAGGAUAUUGCAAACAUCACCAGAACAGGAUAUUUGAAAGAACUUCAAUACAUUUUUCUAAAUGUUCAAUGUUUUUCUAGCAGAAUAGGAUUGAAUUUGGAGGCAGGCACCUUGAGUUGAAAGACAGUGAUGAAAAUGUGAGUUUUUGGAAGAAGGGAAACCAUGUCCUAAAUUAUGAUCUGUAAGGACUGCCAUAAAAUUUUCUUACCAAAAUCUGGAGUGGGUGUAAAUGGUUUCGAGAAUAUGUAUCUUACAAACUGUGUCACUAUGAACAUGAGUGCACAUAUAUCAUAGCGGUGCAGUUUGUAAUAGCUAAAACUUGGAAACAGCCCAAUUGCCCAUCAAUUGGAGACUGGUAAAGAAAAUGUGUUUUUUCUUUUUUAAAUGGAGUAUUACUCAGCCAUAAAGAACAAGAAACUAGAGACAUUUAUAGCUAAAUGGAUGCACAUUGAGGUCAUCUUCUUAAGUGAAAUGAAUAGAACACACAAGUGUAAAUACUGAAUACUUUCUCUGGUGUGAGAAACUGAAAGUGUAAAUAAGAAUCAAAAUGUAUAAUAGAUAAUGUGAAAUAGGAAGCAAAGGUCCAAAGGGGGAGUGGGAGGUGUAGGAAAAAGGAAAAAAAGGGAAAGGAAUAAAUUUGAGAAAAAAAAAAAGGGAACAAAGUUUGUAAAUAGGGAGGGGGUGGAGGGGUUGAACAGAGGGCAGGAGAAUGGAGAAAAAAUAAGAACCAAAAUAUAUUAUGUAAAGGUAGAAAUUCCCAAUAAUGAAUGUCAGCAUAUUGUAUACCUAAAAUGUUCCAAUAAACUUAAUGAAAAAAGUAUAUGUAUCUUGAUCAUCAAAAGUCUCACUAUACACCUAUAAUUUAAACUGUUAUUGUAUGACACAAUUGAGAUAUAUUAAAUUUCUUUUAUUCUCAAAGACAGUACAGAAAACAAAAGGAAGUUUUAUUUCUCAUAAAACUUAUUUUCUCAUACUCUUCAUAAAAAGUAUAGUAUAUUUUCUGAACAGUGAUUUCCUGGGUUAUAGUUACUUGAUAUUUGUUUUUCUAGGCACAAGGAUAUUGUGAUUGGUUCUACAUUUAUGAAAGUAACAAACUAUGAACAUAGUAUAAUACAUUUUGCUUGAGUGGAAGCAGUAGUAUAAAUAUUUCACUAAAAUUAAAACAAGUAUUUUAGGUUGUAUUCUUAUUAGGUUGUUUUCUUAUUUAUAAAUAGACUUGAUUAUUAUUGAAUAUGUUUCUCAUUGGCAUUUUAAAUUUUAUUAUAUUAUAUGGUGAUGCACCAUAUAAAGAUAUUUUGGUCAAUGAUGGUUCACAGUGGUAUAUUCCAUAUGGCAUAGGUGUGUAAUAGACUAUAUCAUUUAGAUUUGUUCUCUCUAUGAUAUUUACACAACAAAAUUAUCUAGAACAUUUUUUCUUAGAAUUUAUCUAUAAUUAAGCAAUGCAUGAUACCAUUUAAUAUCAUAUAUAAUACAUUUUUAUUUUAUUACAUUUUAGAAAACAUAUUAGAUUGAAAAUCAGAAAACAUAGGAGGUGAUCUUUAAUUCACACAAUCUGUGUAUCAUAUCUUUAUCUUCCUUUCACCUCUUUCUCAGUAUAAUUAUGUAUUCUACUGUCUUACCCUCUAACUUAUGCCUAGGUCUUCCUCCAAUGAGUCAUGCAUUCACAAGCAUAUGGAGGGAGACAUUUAGUCUUAUUCUUUGAUAUCUUUAGCACAGGGACUAGAACAUUGUUGAUGCUUCAUAAAUAUCAAGGCAAAUACAUUCAUUUGAAUUGAAUAUUAGCCUUUGAUCAAUUCAAUAAAAACGGUGCAAAAUUAGUUAAGACUGCCAUCAAAUCUUUUGUAUUUCCUGUCAAAUUAAACAAUAAUUUGAUUCUCAGAGAUUCUUAGUACUUCAUUUACAAACAGAAAUCUGGGAAAUAAUAUGUCUAUUCUUAUAUUCUUCAAAAGAUAUGCUUUUCUUUCAGGGAAUGGAUAUACUAAGAAUAUUCAUAGAAGCUGAAUAUAAGUGACCAAUAUGAUAUAGCCCAAAGGUGUGUGCAAGUUGAAGGGCAGAUAGGAAGAGAUUAUGUCAAGGUAGUAGAUACUGUCUGUGAUAGUUGCUAGCAGAGACAAACACUACCUGAUGCCUUUUCACUAUCCACUUCCCAAGCCAUGCCAAUUAAGUAGAAAUGUGUCCAGCUGAAAACUUGUUUAGUAACCUUUGGUCCAAAUAGAAGUAGGCAUGUGACUCAAUUCUGACCAACAAUAAAAUUGGUGGAGGCUUCCAUGUAAUUUUUAUAGGGGAGAUAAACUUACUGGAAUGGCCUUUUAGUCCUUUUCCCUGCCUCCUGCAUGGAUGCCUGGAGGUGCAAUCAUUGCAAUCAUGAGGAUUAAAACCACAUUUUAUAGUUGGUUUCAGUAAGAGUAGAAAAGAAAUCUGGAUCAUAAGGACAUUCGGCUACAGUACUAAUCCUGAUCUUUCUAUCCAUGGACUUGUUACAUGAGACAAAUAAACCUUUUAUUUAUUUAAUGUACAGUUUGUUGGGCUUUCUCAAAACUAAACACAAUCCUCAUAUAUUUGCCCUUCUGGGAAAAAAGGUAGUACAUGACUUUCAAAAUCUAAUGAGAUUCAUGUAUGACUUAAACCACUCUACUGAAGCAGUUCCAUUUCAGUCCAUGGUGCAAGGCAGUUGCCCUGAAUAACAUAUAGUGUCUAAUAAUUUUGUUUCUUUGUUAGUUUUUCCUGAAGCCUAGGGUCAAAGAGCCCAGAAAAUUGUAAACAUAGAGAUGUAAUCUCUGUGCACAUUGGCUGAUAAAUGCUAUUAUGAUUUGUAUGCCUAGAUUUGGUAAAGAACGAAUAUUCAACAUCUCUACAUAAUAUUGCUUUAAUUAAAUUCUUUUCUCUCUGGCUGUCAUACAUGCCACACAGGCGCAAUCAACGAACAUUGACAAUUUGCUUAAAUCUUACUCUUUGUCCUAUUUGUAUAAUUUAUUGUGUCAGUGUUCCUCAAGUGGUGUGCUCCUGCAACUCAUCAUCUAGAAAUCCUUCCCAGAUGUGCUGAAAUUUUUCAUUAAUUUGUACAAGUAUUGUUUUGUAAUUAAAUACACACGCUUUUGACUGGAAGAGAAAACACCUCUCUUUAAUCCCAGAGAAUUAUUUGGCCUUGAGAAAAAUUGAUUCAUGCCCUUCCCACUUCAUCCUCCUUAUUCAGAUAGAUAUUCCUGAAGCAUUCGCUGCUUUAUAAAUUUACUUGGUCCAAAGAUGAAAAAGAAAAAUCCAUUACUUUAAAGAUUUCUGCAGGAUCUACCUAUAACUCACUUUUUAGUUUCCAAUUAAGAAUAACAUAACUCUAGAGUAGGCUUCAACCCUAAUUUUCCAAACUGGAAUACAAUUUCAAAGCAGGAAGUGACAAUCUCUGUAGUGGUACUUGUCCACAGAGGUGAUAUUUCUGGUUAUUGAAUUUCAAGACUAGAAACUAAGCUUACUAUCUUUUAGCUUGGUAACUGUAAAGAGAGGGUGAGGACUGCUCUGUAUAUUAAUAAAGACUAUCAUAAGCAGCUGAAGAAAUUGGCUUAGCUCUACUUCUUAGUGUCCAUGUUUGUUUGUUUGUUUUUUGGUAUGAAGCAUGGAAUAUAAAACUAAUACUGCAUUUACUACAUUCAUUUGCAGCUAGGUUCCUGAGUGACAUUGGGUUUGGCUGGUUUGAUAACCAGGGUCACAUUUAGAAGGGAAAUGUGAGGCAAAUACCACAUGGUUGACUGAUUCUAUUUAUUUCUAAUGACCUUUACUAGGCACACUUUGUAUAGAAAAUAAUGAGCAUAUUUUAAGUAUAUAGUUUAAUGAGUUCUGACUAAUUUAUUGAUCUAUUUAACCAAUAUCAAUAUCAAUGUGUAUAUUAAUUUCCUUACUCCAUAAUAAAACUUUGUGCUCCUUUCCAGACAACCCCCAAAUCCUGGACCCAGACAACUAUUGAUCUGCUUUGUAUUGCCAUAGAUCAUAUUUUCUUUUCUGAGAGAUUCAAUAAACAGAUUCUUAUAUUAAAUCAUCUUAACUCUGGCUUAUUCCCAUCACCAUGAUAUUUUGAAAUAUAUCAAUACUGUUUGUAUAGUAAGCAAAGAUUUAAGAUGGGCUCAAAAAAUCUUCACUCCUGGUAUAUGUACCUUUUACCUCUUAUCCAACCAAAGUUAAUUUAAAUGAUACUAUGAAAGGAUUUUCAAGGUAUAAUUAAAGUCCUUAAUAAGUUUGCUUUAAGUUAUGUGGAUUUUCCUAGGUGAGCCAGACCUAAGUAGGUGAGCCAUUAGAAAAAUUAGAGCUAUUCAAAGAACAGGAGAAAUUUUGUCACCAACUUUAAAAAGAUAACUUCCAUUUUGUGAUGAAGUCCAUAUGUCAAGUAGGCCUAGGCAGCUUCUAGGAGCUGAGAAUCACCCUAGUUUCAUGGCCAGCUAGCAACCUUCCCUAUAACCUCAGACCUAUAAACAUAAGAAACUGAAUUCUGUUAAAAACCAGUUAGAAAAACCUUGAGCUUUAAUUGAAAUUGAGGCUCUGACCAAUACCUUGAAUUUAACCUGAUGAGGCCUGAAGAGAGAACUCAAUUAUGUUCUUCCAGGUUUCUAUCCUACAGAACCAUGAUUUAAUAAAUGGACAAUAAUUGAAACUUAAUUGCUAACAAGUUGCUAUAAACUCUAGGAAUGUAGUUAAAUAAUUGACAUCCCUCAGCAACUGAGUAUUUUAUUUAUUAAAAAAUAAAUUACUAUAUGGGAGAGAUUACACAAGGCUGUGAAUACCAGGAAGGUGUGAUAUCUAGGGUUUGAUUUUAAAAGCUGUGUAAUUUUGUAGUGAUUUGUUAGGCACCAAUGCAAAAUGAAUAUACUGAAUGUCA